CGGCAGCAGUGAGGAAUAUUGCGCAAUGGGGGAAACCCUGACGCAGCGACGCCGCGUGAGUGAUGAAGGCUUUCGGGUCGUAAAGCUCUGUCAAGUGGGAAGAACCCGCCGGAGGAUAAUACCCUUCGGCGCUGACGGUACCACUGAAGGAAGCACCGGCUAACUCCGUGCCAGCAGCCGCGGUAAUACGGGGGGUGCAAGCGUUAUUCGGAUUUAUUGGGCGUAAAGGGCACGUAGGCGGCCGUUUAAGUCAGAUGUGAAAUCCCGGGGCUCAACCCCGGAAGUGCAUUUGAAACUGGACGGCUUGAGUAUGGGAGAGGGAAGUGGAAUUCCAGGUGUAGAGGUGAAAUUCGUAGAUAUCUGGAGGAACACCGGUGGCGAAGGCGACUUCCUGGACCAAUACUGACGCUGAGGUGCGAAGGCGUGGGGAGCAAACAGGAUUAGAUACCCCAGUAGUC
rnacentral:rRNA from 1 species